AUUUUUAGCUCAGUGGUAGAGCAUCUGUACUGCAUGCAGAAUGUCCCAGGUUCAUUUCUUGGCAUCUCUA